rnacentral:rRNA from 1 species
GACGAACGCUGGCGGCGUGCUUAACACAUGCAAGUCGAGCGGUAAGGCCCUUUCGGGGGUACACGAGCGGCGAACGGGUGAGUAACACGUGGGUGACCUGCCCUCAGCUCUGGGAUAAGCCUGGGAAACCGGGUCUAAUACUGGAUAUGACUCCAUGACGCAUGUUGUGGGGUGGAAAGCCUUGUGCGGCUGAGGAUGGGCCCGCGGCCUAUCAGCUUGUUGGUGGGGUGANGGCCUACCAAGGCGACGACGGGUAGCCGGCCUGAGAGGGCGACCGGCCACGACUGGGACUGAGACACGGCCCAGACUCCGUACGGGGGCAGCAGUGGGGAAUCUUGCGCAAUGGGCGAAAGCCUGACGCAGCGACGCCGCGUGA